CUGGCUCAGGAUGAACGCUAGCUACAGGCUUAACACAUGCAAGUCGAGGGGCAGCAUGAGCUUAGCUUGCUAAGCUUGAUGGCGACCGGCGCACGGGUGAGUAACGCGUAUCCAACCUUCCCCUUAGUAGGGCAUAGCCCGGUGAAAAUCGGAUUAAUACCCUAUGUUCUUCACAGCGGACAUCUAACGUGAAGCAAAGGUUCACCGCUAAGGGAUGGGGAUGCGUCUGAUUAGGUAGUCGGCGGGGUAACGGCCCACCGAGCCAUCGAUCAGUAGGGGUUCUGAGAGGAAGGUCCCCCACAUUGGAACUGAGACACGGUCCAAACUCCUACGGGAGGCAGCAGUGAGGAAUAUUGGUCAAUGGGCGCGAGCCUGAACCAGCCAAGUAGCGUGCAGGAUGACGGCCCUAUGGGUUGUAAACUGCUUUUAUGCGGGGAUAAAGUCACCCACGUGUGGGUGUUUGCAGGUACCGCAUGAAUAAGGACCGGCUAAUUCCGUGCCAGCAGCGGC
rnacentral:rRNA from 1 species